UACGGACGGGGCGAGCGUUGUUCGGAAUCAUUGGGCGUAAAGGGCGUGUAGGUGGUUCUGUAUGUCUACCGUGAAAGCGUACGGCUCAACCGUAUUUAGUCGGUAGAAACUGCAGGACUUGAGGCUGGGAGGGGCUGGUGGAAUUCCCCGUGUAGCGGUGAAAUGCGUAGAGAUGGGGGAGAACACUCGUGGCGAAGGCGGCCAGCUAGACCAGUUCUGACACUGAGGCGCGACAGCGUGGGGAGCAAACAGG
rnacentral:rRNA from 1 species